GUUUUACAACAAAUCUUUGAUUUGGGAUUACCCUUCACCAAGUAAAUUGUACGGAAGAAUUUUGUCCUCCGGCAUCCAACCCAUUUUGCUGUAAGCAGUCAGCCCGAUAUGUAAGCAAUAUUUAUCAGGCGCUCGUUAAAACUUGGGAAGACUCAGGUGCAACUUACGGAAGUUUGAGUAGUGAUUCAAGAGAUAUUAUUCAACUUAUUCAAGAUAGUUAUGAUAAAAUUACUUCCGGGUUCA